rnacentral:rRNA from 1 species
UACGAAGGGGGCGAGCGUUGUUCGGAAUUACUGGGCGUAAAGGGCGCGUAGGCGGCCCCUUUUGUCGCGUGUGAAAGCCCCCGGCUCAACUGGGGAGGGUCACGCGAUACUGAUCGACUCGAAGGCAGGAGAGGGAAGUGGAAUUCCCGGUGUAGUGGUGAAAUGCGUAGAUAUCGGGAGGAACACCAGUGGCGAAGGCGACUUCCUGGCCUGUUCUUGACGCUGAGGCGCGAAAGCUAGGGGAGCAAACGGG